CUAGCGCCGCGUGCCGCCCGCUCCGCGUCGGGCCUGGCGGCGCCGAGCGCCCAGCUGCCCGCGCCCGGCGCGCGGACGCAGAGCCCCGGGGCGGCAGCGGGCGGCGGCGGCGGCUCGGCCAGGGGAGCGCGCCCACAUAGACGAGGACUCCGCCCGGUAGCCGCGAGCCGGCCGCGGGGCGGGGACGCGGAGCCACGGCCUCGGCGGCGCCGGCCGGAGCGCGGGCAGCAGCGCGCGCCGCGCGGGACACGCAGUCGCAAGGGCGGGGGCCGUGGCCGGCAGGAGCUUCGGGAUCACGGGCGCCGGCGGCAGCCGCGAGCCUCCAUCUUGAUUUCAAAUGGGGAAGGAAGGAGGGGGAGGGGGAAAAUCACGGCCGAGGGAACCCGGGUGAAAGGAAAAGGGAGAGCAGGGAAAGGAGAGGAAGGAAAAAAAAGAGGGGCUUCGGGAAUUUCCGGCGAACAUCGUCAGGGGCCCGAGCGUGGGCUCGGCGGGUGGGCGGGGCCUGGCGGGAGGGGCGGGGCCGCGCCCGACGGCCGGACGCGCGGAGAGCCGGCGGGCGGCGGCGUGACGGCACGGCAGUACUUAGUGUCCUCCGCCCGGGCAGCUCCAACCUUUGGAAGGAGCAGGAACGUUCACGCCAGCUGGGGCCGACCUUUCCGGCAGCAAGCACCGUCCUCCGAGCGCUCGAGCUGUUUGUUACCGAUCUCGCCCGCAGAAACGGGUGACUCGGGCACGGGGUCGGCACUGGCACGUAGAGCGGGCUCCAUAAUAGUUGAUGAAUGAACAGAGAGCUCCUGGCAACAGUCCCAGAGGCGAGUGGGGGCAAGCCUCGGAACUCCUGGGGGUACAGGUCUUCUCGUCUGUAAAAUGAGAUUCCAUAUUACAGCUCCUCUAUCCUUAAUCCACCAAAGCGUUGAGAAAGAGGAAGGUGAUGGGGGCUGGGAAAAGCGAAGCAAACAGAAUGGGUGACACCCAGCUUUAUGGAAGUUCUGUGUCAAACCAGAAUCCAGUAAAAACGUUCCUGACGUGACUACAAGAGGAGGGAGCAGGAGGGAUGGAUGUCAGAGGUGAAAGGAGCCAAUGCUGGGGAAAACAGGAGAGACAGAAAAAGGUGGAUUUUUUUUUUUUUUUAAUGGACGAUGAAACUACUGUAGUGCAUACUGGAAAGGAACAAUUAGAUAAGUGAAAGGCGGAUGGUGGACAGCAGGUUUAUCACCGUGGGGGGUGGUUACAGGUAAACAAGAGGAGGAGGCUGGAAUGAGCCCUGUGGUACUGGGUUAUAGUUGGAGACAUCUAUGCUACCUCUAUGAACCCAUGAUGAGCUUGGUAUAGACGGAGAGAUAAAAAGACGUGCAGAUAUCUGUAUAUAUGUGGGUUGGUACACAUGCAUGUAAUUUCCUUGCUGUGUCAGCUGAGUGGACUUAGAAAUAACCUCCAGGAACAAGGACUACGCCUCUGGCACUGAGCUCCUGUUUUUAACACCAUUCUCCAGUGAAAGGAGGUCUCCUUGGGGAAAUGGACUGCAGCAGAGAAUCUACAAGCUGCGCCUGGAGCAUCUUGUUCUGCCAGAAGUCCCAGGCAUGCUGGCCUUCGAGCACAUGCUGCAUUAUAUUAUUGACAUCACUCAUGUUUAAUGUCUUGCCCGCGAGAUGAAGAGCUCCUUUGCAGCCAGCGUGCAAGCAUCAGCAUGUCUCCCAUGUGCCUAGAACUGAGGCACAAAGGUGUGAAGCAAAGACAUGGAGAAAGCCAGCUGGGCAGACCCUGCAAGUUACCUACUCACCAUCUUUUCUACUUACCGGAACCCAUCGGGCUUGCUGAAAAACCCCACUUCCCAGCUACAGUGGUUUUGUGACAGGGUGCUGGCCAAUGAGGUGUAAGUGCAGAGGACUGGGCUGGGCUCACAAGAAGGAGCUUAGAUCCAGCGUAUGCACACCCUUUGGGCCUCGUCCUCUCUGGAACACAGAUGAGAUGCUAGAGGUGAAGAGGCCACCAUGUGACUCUGAGAGGGUGAACAUGAGGACAGAAGCACAUGGAACAGAUGACUCGGGGAGCUGCCCACACCCAGACUCCUCGUUACAUAGAAACACAAGAGAAAAAGAAGACCCUGAGUUAGUUAAGUUGCAUGUUCAGUUUCGUGCCCCCGAACCAGCACCUAAAAGAUAGACCAGCCACAGCUCGUCUAAGAGAGCCAAGUGCUUCUCACAUUUUUCCACCAAAGAAACUCUGGAGAUGGAGGAGGGUGAAGAGGAUGGCGAAAGUUACAUCCUGGAGAAUCUUGUGCCCAGUCCAAGCAGCCCCGUAAGACUAACAUGUCCUUGAAAUCACUGGCUCUUUCUUAGAAAUGCAUGAACCUUCCCCUCCCAGCCCUGAGUGAAAAUAAGAAAGUGUCAGGCUGGGCCCAUGCAGCGUGAGGUCAUUCCCGGCUCUAGUCCUGACCAGCGCUCCCUGGACCCCCGACCGUGCCAACCCCCGGGCCUGCCCCUCCGCCCCAGUGGCCCGCUUCAGGGCCUGUAGCACCUGUCGGGGAGGGUUUCUGAGGAGCUGCAGAAACCGUGACGAGAAGGCUGCAGAGGG